GGGCAGUUACCCAAGUGGCCAAAGGGGGCUGACUGUAAAUCAGCUGUCAACGACUUCGUAGGUUCGAAUCCUUCACUGCCCA
rnacentral:tRNA from 1 species